GGAUCUGAUGAUAGUAUGUUUGACACCCAGUCUUACUUGUUUCUUUGGUUCAAACAUGGUGAUCACUGAUCGACUAUCUGAUCC
rfam:Punica granatum cultivar Dabenzi scaffold109, whole genome shotgun sequence.